AAAAAGGAUCUAUUCAGAUCCACAAUGGACAUAAACAUAUUCU
rfam:Phaethon lepturus contig99166, whole genome shotgun sequence.